rnacentral:lncRNA from 10 species
AAGAUUUUGGUUGGAGUCUUGUAGCUAAGAUUGAGCUGGAGUCCUGGCUCCUGAGGACAGGCACUUUGGCCAUUCUGAGAAGGUCUGCUCAGGCCAGGAGCCUGCAGCUGAGAGUUCCCUGUGGAAGGGAAACAGAAGUUUAACUGGGGACAACAACACUUGUUUAUUUCGAAGCCUGUUGUGAGCCCAUGGACAGGAUGUACUGUCUAUGGCUGGGGUCCCACUGCUCCCUUCCUCCCGGCAUUGUUCCUCUUAGGAAGCCGGGAACUCAGGCCAGUUCUGGAAAGUCCCUAGGGCCUUCCCUGGCCAGGCCUGUGUCAUGGGCCCCCCUGGAGAGCACCUACCUGUUGAGUACUGGUGUCCCAUGACCACGUCCAUACAAUGUAUCUGGGACUAAGUUCACCUCCAUGUGCCCCACGGGCUCCUCUGAGUCUCAAGCUCUCACACAAGGUACAGACGAGACAGCAAAGUCCAGCCACUCUCUGGGGCCCUGUGGCCUUAUUGUCCAGCGGCCACCUGGGCGUUGUGUUGACAUACUUGGUGCAGUGAUUUAAUACCCGGUGUCAGGCUGAUGUGGAGGGUCAUUCCCAUUUCUCUAGCUCACCAGCUGCCUAGCUGAGCCAAUCCUGGGAAACAGAGAGGGUAACAGAGCUACCAGCAUGUCCCCACAUAGUGGUCCUGCCUGCUGCUAUUGGCUUCAUGUGGGUUCACAGCUGCCCAGAGCAAACAUAGUCAAUGCUCAGAGCCUCCUCAAGGAGCUGAAGUCUCAGCAUCAAGCUAUGAAUGGUCCCACUCACUACAAACUCUGAUCGCUCCAAACCAUUCCCUGCUCAGCACCCUAAGGCCUUGCAGUUGGGGAAGCUGACUGAGGGGCCGGUGGGGAAGCAGAUCCAGGGGCCGGUGGAGGAGCAGUAGGGACUGGCCCUUGAGUUCUCAUGCAGCCCACAGCAUCCUGUGAAGCAGCAGCCAGGUUCUGUGGGCACAAACGGCCAGGGUUCCAGUCCAGCUUGGCUGUGUGAUAUCCCCUCACCCCACAGUGCCAAGUGAAGAGACUUACCCACCCUGGGUCCUGGGAGGAAGCCAGGUAGACUAUAAAGUCCUCUACGUGCCUGAAGGAAUUUCAGUGGACUGGUCAUGCUAGAUCCUCACAGAGGGACUUCCCUGCCCGGUACCAGCUAGCUCCUAACAGGAGGUGGCAGGCCACUGGGCAAGUGAUCAACAGGCCUGUCAACAGCUCAGUCAAGUCCCCAGCCCCAGUGCUGACCACUGACUUCUAUGCCAGGCCUGGCGCUGCGACACACAGAAUCCCACGCGGUACACAGAUAUCCACCCUCCUCUGUGGCUGGCCUCUCACUCCUGUGCUCCGUGGCUCUGGCUACUGGGAAGAGCCAAGCAAUUUCAUGUGUCGGGUCAUGCUCAGGCUAAAGCUACAGCUUCUGAAGUGGGAUUAUGGGCUCAGCAUGUGGCCUCGGUAAGCCGACUCUUUAUUGCUGACUUUCAGAGGCCUGAUGCUUCUCUGCCAACUCAGCACAUAGCAGCCGCCUCUGAAUGGCUUUUUAAAUAAAGCUGGGCUAGCUCUCUCCAGGCCAACUGGCCAAUCAUGUCGUUUGUUUUCCCACAUGCAGAGCUCAUCCAUAAACACUAAGCACGUAAUGGGCACCUACCGUGUGCAGUACCUGUUCCAGGCAAGUUGGAGGAAGCAAAGAUGAAAAAACUUGAGCCAUUAAAGCCAAUUCUACCAGGAGCCAUGCUGAGCCUCUAGUUUCACUUCUGUUCUCUGGGCCUUCUGCCUGAACCUCAGGCACAACUAAAGGAGGUGCCUCCUCCAUGCGGCCCUCUCUGCCUGUCCUUCCCCCUCUGCCACCUGCCAGCAUGGACAGUUUGUUACCUGCAGCCUGGGCUCAGCUUUUGUUCCAUUUCCUGGAGCUGCCUUGGCAAAGCACCAUAAACUGGGUGGCUUUAAACCACAGGAAUGUAUUAUCUCACAGUUCUGGGGGUCACGAGUCUAAAAUCAAGGUGUUAGUAGGGCCAUGGUCCCUCUGAAAUCUCUAGGGAAGGAUCCUACUUUGUUUUGUCCUGGCUUCUGGGGGUUUCCUGGCAACACUUGGGGUCCCUUGGUUUAUAGCUGUAUCACCCCAGCCUCUGCCUUUGUCUUCAUAUGAGUUUCUCUCCUCUGUGUCUGUGUCUUCACACGGUGUCUUCUCUGUGUCUGUGCCCAAAUUUCCCUCUUAUAGGAAAGAAUACCAGUCAUUGGAUUACGGCCCACUGUAAUCUGAUAUGACCUCAUUUCCCUUUAAUUAUACCUGCAAAGGCCCUAUUUCCAAAUAGGAGCACCUUCACAGCGUCCUUGUGGACAUGAAUUUGAAGGGACGCAAUUCGACCCAGUACAGUUACCACCUGUCCUGAGCACGUGGCAUUCAGCAGCAAGCAGAGGCCCAUUCCAUUCUGCAAGGCAUGCCCCCUGUGCCAUCCCUGUGUACUCUGUGUGUUUCAGCAGUGCCAUGUCGGUUUCACUCCCAUGUGAGGGGACGUGUCAGGAGGAAGCUGGGCAGGCAGUUGUGUGUGUAGACACCCACCACGGGCCAUCAUUAUAAAGUUCUGUCCUUUGCAGCUGCUGCCAGACAUGUCAAAUUCUCUCUAUCAAAAGCUGGAUCUCUUUAUUAAAUAGUGAAAUGACUCCUUAGAUAACAUGUGGCACAAACUGGAGAGCUGGUGACACUCAGAGCUAUCCUGGCUGGCAGGCGGGCAGCGGCGUUCCUUCCUUCCUUCCUCCAGCAGUGCCCCUCUGGAGAAGGCCUUCCCUGGCUGGACCAGCACUGUCUGUUCAGAGCCAUAGGCAGCUGAGUCCUGGGGCUCCCCCUUGCCAUCACCCCAUUAUCCUCUCGCUGGCCUCCGAGGUAGUCGGAAAGGGCUCUGAGGAUGCUGGCAGUGGGAACUAAAGGCUUCCGGAGCAUGGGAGCUGCAGGCCAACUGCCUUUACUGCUGCCUUCUCAAGCUGGUUUUCUUCCUUUGCUGAGAUCGCCCUUGACGUCUCCACAGUGUGUUUCUGUUUUUCCUUUUGGUGUUAUCGCCACUUUGCUGAUUUUCCCCUAACAAGUGCUCUAGGUCCCAGAGGGCAAUGUUUUUCUGGAUUAGAAAGUAGAACAGCUGAUUUCUUGCCCACCUGUUUCUCAGACAUCAGAAGCUGCAGAGAGGCUGAGCUUGACUCAGUCCCCCCCAUCCCCAGAUGGCUUCAUUUUACACCUAGGUUGGUUCCAGGACCCUAAAUUGGGCUCUGUCUGCUUGUAUGGGUGGCCCUAGGAUUUGCAUCGGGACCUCACAGUCUAUAAAAUCCAUGGCUGUGGAAUGGAAAAUGGUGCAGCACUUUGGGAAAUAGAUUUAGCAGUUUUUACAACAAGUAAACAUAAAUGUACCACACAAAUCAGCAAUUCCACUCCUAGGCAUAUACCUAAAGAGAAAGAGAAAUAUAUGUCCAGUCAAAGGCUUGUACACAGAUGUUCAUAGCAGCUUUAUUUAUCACAGCCAAAAAGUGGAAACAAUGGAAAAGCCUCUCGGCUGGUGAAUGGAUAAACUAAAUGCAGUAAAUCCAUAUAAUGGAAUAUUAUUAGAUCACAAAAACGAAUGGAGUGAUACAUGCUGCAAUAUGGAUCUACCUCAAAUACAUCAUGUUAAGUGACAGAAGCUAGACUCAAAAGACCACGUAUUGUAUGAUUCUAUGUAUAGGAAAUUUCCAGGACAAAUCUACAGAGACAGAAAGAUUAAUGGUUGCUUCAAGCAGAGGUUGGAACUAACAGUGACUGCAAAAGGGCACAAAGAAUCUUUCCCAGGGUGAUAGAAAUGCUCUAAAGUUGGCUUGUUGUGAUGGUUGCACAAUUUGAUAAGUUUACUAAAAUUGUUCAAUUGUACACUUAAAAUGGGUGAUGUUUACGGUAUAUAAAUUAUAUCUCAAUAAAACUGUUAGGAUAAUUUAA